GUGUGAGGGCUUUCUCUUGUUGUGGCAAGUGAGGAGCCACUCUUCAUCGCGGUGUGCAGGCCUCUCACCGUCACGGCCUCUCUUGUUGCGGAGCACAGGCUCCAGACUCAACGCAUUUUAAAAGUAGUAAAACUCCCGAUAAGUGUCUGUGCUCGCCGCCCCGCCCAGGAGAGAGUGUGCCCUCCGUGAGGGACACGUGAAAGGCUGAGUGGACAUCUGCCUGUGGUCUGUUACCUGGUGCACGGGUGUGUGAAUUUCUGCGGAGAGCUCUCAAUUUCUGUAGUUUCUGCUGACUUGACAGGGUGGUUGGCAAAUGGUGACGUGUUCCAUGCAUUCAGGACAUGAUCGUGGUUACUAAUAAUCACUUUGUUCUCUCUGUGCAUGUCUGUGUCCUAAUUUUUUCUUUUUAUAAGGACCCCAGUCAUAUUGGACUAGAGCCCACCCAUUUGACCUCAUUUGACCUCAGUUACCUAUUUAAGGGCCUCAUCUCCAAAUACAGUCAUAUUACGAGGUAUUGGGGGUUAAGACUUCCACAUAUUAACGUGAGCAGGACACAAUUCAGCUGAUGAUAGAAGACAAUUUCCAAUUCACCUCUACAAAGAGACCAGAAUAAUCACCUUCCAAUACAAGAUUUAUUGUGUUCCUUUAAUUAAGAGCCUACAGUGACUUCUACAUUCACUCCACGAAGUUUUGCUAUGAGAGAAAAGGAGCCAUUAUAUUUUGUCUUGAAUUAGAUAUGCCACCAUACUUGACUUAGCUCAUCUUACUGGAAGCACUUUGAGGGCAGAUCCUACAGUCUUGUCUUACAUCCUCUACAGAAUCAAGCCAAGGGAAUCACACAUAGUUACAGCUGGAAGAACACUUGUUCUGGGUUGAUAUUUUUAGCCUUUACCACCAAGACUUUAUCACCAAGACCUAUCUUCACAGUCUCUAAACAGAAGACCUUCUUGCCUUCCGUUUUCCUAUUGACUAGGAAUGUCAAGGGAAGAACUGAGAAGUAGCCAUAGUCGGCUAGCAGCCAGCCCAGAUACACCAUCUGUGGAGAUAUUGUUUCUUUCAAAAGAUAUAAACAUAAGAGGAAGUCCUAGAGUUUGUAACAAUUGUGCAUAAUAAAAUUCCAUGAAAACCUAGAAAUCCAGAUGCAGAUCAGUAACAUAUUGGUUAAAUAAGCUGUUAUAUUCAUGCAAUGGACAAGUGUACAGACAUUAAGAAGAACGAGAUACUCUUUUCUAUGAGAUUCUCUUUUCACUGAACUCAUCAGUGCUGCAAAGACAAUGUUACAUAAUAGCUUUUCUUUAACAUUAUAUCAGGCAUCUUCAUCUUGUCCUGUACUUAUUGCCAGUGUUACUAAAGGUUAUCAUUUACCUCUUUCUCUUUUAGAUAUAUAAUUUCUUCUUACUGUGGAAGCAUUCAUCAAUCCCUAUUUUACUAUUUCUUUUAAAUUAGAAAUGAAUAUUGAAUUUUAUAAAAUAUCUUUGGGGACUAUUUCAACUGAUUGUAUACUUUUGUUCUCUUUUGACCUUGUUAUAUGGUAAAUUAUAUUUUGUUAUUUUAUAUUAUGCUAUUUAUUAUAUAUGGUAUUAUGUUUACUAAUUACAUUUAUUAUAUUAUAAUUACAUUAUAAUUAAGGUAGCAUUUUGUUUCAGAUAGACAAAACAACCAGUGGAAUAGGAAGCAUCUUAAAAUUAGAUGCAAGAGCGUAAGGGAUUUGAGAUUAAAAUAAAAUUGACAUUUUGGAUCAGUAGCCAAACAUAUUCAACAAAAUUGGGAAACUAUGGCUAUCAUUAAUAAAUUCUAGAUAUAGCCACUAGUUAAAAGUAAAAAAAUCAUGAAAGUGUAAAAGUAUCAGAAACCUGGGAGACUUGAAAUAAAUUAUUCAUGAGCAACACCUUUCUAAGAUACAAAGAAAAAAGGAUACAUUUAAUUAUAUAAGAAUUAAAAUUUUCCUCAUGGCAAAAUGCACUCCAAAGGUCAGAAAACAAGCAAAAGGAAUUGGGAAAUAUAUUUAGAAAUAGAUAUGCUCUCUUUACAACUUUUGAGAGAAGCACAUGUUUCUUUUUCCUUUAACCUGUUAUGUGGGUAUUAACCUAUAGUGUAAGUGCAUGGUUCCUUUCCUUUAACCUGUAAUGUGAGAUUUCAUCUGUAUGGUUAAGUGCAUGGUUCCUUUCCUUUCAUCUGUAAUGUGAGUGUCCACAUGGGGCACUGUUUCCAAGCACAGACUCUGGAUGUUCCUGUGCUGGUCCCAUCACUGACCAUCCACAAAAACUUGCAAAUGUUGCUUUCCUUUCCUGGGGGUUAGAGUCUUAGCUAAGAAAUGGAAGCAAAAUAGAACCUUCCCCCAGGGAUAAUAGAAGGUUUAAAGGAGUAAAUAUGUAAAUGACUUAGGACAGUGCCUAGUACAAGAGAGAUCAAUAGAAGUACUUAUCAAUUUUUUAAAGAGACAGACGAAAGAAAUAAAAUGUGGUGAUUUCAGUCUAUUGAUAUAUAUUCUUGACAUUAAACUACCUUUUCAUUCACUGGAUGACCUAACUUGCUCAUGCUUUUUCUUACUCUAGUGAACCUGGGUAGCUAAUAUCAUAGCUUAACAUUUUUGCUUUUAUAUUUACAAGUAAAUUUGACCUGUAAAUUUCUUUUUCUUACAGUCCUAAUCUAUUUUCAGUAUUAGGAUUAUAUAGACUUCCUAAGAUGAAUAAAGGAGCAUUCUUCCUUUGCUACUCUCUAGAAGUUUUUCUUUAUUAAUACUGAUGUUACCUGUUUAAUAGAAGUUUGAUAGAAUUCCCCACCCAAACGUUCUGGGUGGGUCUGGUAUUUUCUUGGUGAAAGAUUGUAAACUAUUGACUUAAUUCCUUUACUGGUGAAAGAACUCCAGCUAUAUAUUUCCUCUUGUGUCAGUUUUGGUAAACUUUAGGAGCUAGGAAAUUGUCCACUUUCCAUAAAUGUUCAAAUUUACUGGCAUUUCAGAUAUUCUCUGUUUGUCCUCUCUGCUAUAACAUUGCCCUGAUUCUUUCUGUGUAUUAUUUACUUAUGUUUUUGUUUUGCUUACUCAAAGUGUGUUUUUAAAAUCUUUUCAAAGAAUAUUCUUUUGACUUACUAAAUCACCUCAAUUAUACACCUUUUUCUGUUUUAUUAAGUUCUGCUCAUAUCUUUAUUAUCUAUUUUUUUCUAUGUUCUCAGGGUUUAUUGUUUUGCUCUUCUGAUGUCAAUUAAAACACUUGGUUAUUAAUUUUAAUAAAUCUUUUUAGUUAUAAAUAGUUGAACUUCUUGAAGAUGCCAGCUUAGUUGUAAGUAUCUAAGGGUCAGCACCUCCACAUUGUUGCUGGCCUAAGCCUUACUGCACUCUAUAGCAAUGUAUAUAUUGACAUUUUUUCCCCUCGACUUUCUGUGUUUUGCUACUUCUCACUUUUCUUUGGAGAGAAGCCCUCUGAAAUAUCCUUGAGUUACUUUACAGCCAAUAAGUCUUUAAAAUAUGUGUAUUUUUUUUAAGAUAAAUCUACUUAUAUAAUUAGGCAAAAAAUCUGAUUUGCCAUAUUUUUGAAAACAGCAUAAUUUCACUCUUCUCCAUGAUUAAUCUGCUGUUUUACACAACCUUUGAGUUUUUAGCUUUAUCAAUGACAUGUACUUUAGAAAUUUUUUAAAGAGCCUACCCACUCUUUUAAAACAUCCUGUUCCUUGUUUCAGUUCUAGUUUUAUGUCUAUUUUCUGCCUUGCACCUGAUAAUUCCAACAUUCAAUGGAUGGCCUUGGGAAUCUAAUUCUGGUAUUGAUUGUUUUUGCUGAUUCUCUUCCAUUGUAGCUGAUUUCUUCAUUAUUGUGUAAAUUUAGAUCAUGAGCUCAUGUUUAGCUAAACUUUAUCUGUGGGAACGCUAUAGGCCUGGGUUGAAGGUCUACCUCUCCAGAGAGUGUUUAGUUCUGUGUUUGGAAUACCACCCAUCUGGGAGCAUUUUAAGGUAACUUCUUACCUUCUGUUUGCAAGACCGCAAAUAAACUUGCAACCCAAACACUGUGAACACAGAUCUGGGGUUCAGAAUUCUCCAGAUUUCCUACCUGUUUCCUACCCAGAGCAGAGGCCAAGAGAAUUUGGUCUUAGUCUCCCUUUGCCAGCAGAUAUUUUUUUUUACUAGCACACCCUUUCAUUAAAGGUGAACCUAGGGAUAGAUAGGUUUAGUUCUAACUUCCCAUCUAGGAGGGAUGGAGUCUUAUCUCCUGCCUCCCAUGUGGUAAUGGCCAUUUUAACAACAAGUCUCUGUGUCAGGUCAGGUGUGUCAUUAAACUAUGGCCUGUAUUCCAAAUCCAGACAGCUGCCUAUUUUUUAUGGCCUAUGAGCUAUGAAUAAUGUUCACAUUUUAACUGGUAAUAUUUUAAAUGGUUGCUUAAGUACCUAAAUAAUAGCCUCAAUUUUGCCUCUUUGGUCCACAAAGCCUAAAAUAGUUGCUAUUUCGCUCCAUAAAAACAGGAUUACCAGCUUCUGUUCUAAGCGAUCAAGAUCUUCAAUCCACUCUUAAUAUAGCUAUAACUCUCACACAUGUACCCCCCUUCUUUCCGGGGUCCUGGAAAUUUCUACUGCACACUUCAAAAAUCAGACACGCACUUAAAAAUAAGGUGUUUACAUUUAACCUAGCAUACCGAACUCUUUUCUUUUAGGAGAGUUUUUCAAGGAAUCUUGCCCACCAGAUUCUUCAGAGCUUCAUUAAUAAUGGCAAAAAAUUAAAACAACUUAACAUUCAACAAAUGGGAAUUGUUCAUAACAAUUAUAGAAGCACAUACAGUAGAAAACUAUAAACUGUUAUUGAAACGAAGGCAGUGGGAAGUGGACAGAAGACCUGAUAGGAAAGAUAAAAAGAAGAGGAAAAGGAAAAUAAAAGUUUCCAGUUUGACAAUCAAGCUGUCUUCUGCAUCCAUUUCAUCCCAAGACCACCAAGCCAGUGUGGAGGCUUUUUCCUCCUUUCCUUUUCGUGAGACUGAUCACAACCAGCACUGCAGAGUCCAUUAAAUGAAGAAAUGCUGUUGCAUACAUGUGUGAAUGAGCUGUGAGUGAAGUACUGGAGUAGAGGACACCUAACUUGAAACGUCCUCAUGAAUGUCCAUGUGGCUGAGCAGGAAGUUAACCUGUCAUAGAUGUGCUAAAUCAGAAUAGUUGGGUUUUAUUUUAUUUACUUUUCCCGGGACUCUGUUGAAUGACUGUCAGCUACAAGUUCAGGCCAGUUUUUGCUGAAGAUUAAUGCACUGGGAGAGCUGAGAGAAAACUGAAUAGUAGAGCUGUCUUUUUCUUGACCAGUUCACCUUACUUUCCCAAACUCAAAGUCUUUCCCUAUUUCUUUCUCCUUUUUAUUUUAGUAAAAUGAACAUAACAUAAAAUGCACCAUUUUGAUCAUUUUACAAUUCACUGUACAAUUCAGUGGCAUUUAGUACUGUCACAGUGCUGUGCAACUGUCACCACUGCCUAGUUGCAAAACAUUUGCAUCACCCCAAAAGGAAACCUACACCCAUUUUAAGCAGUCAUUCCCUAUUUCCCUCUCUUCCAAACCCCUGGCAACCACUACUGUAUAAUGUUUUCCGUGUGUAUGGAUUUGCCACUGCUGGACAUUUCGUAUAAAUGGAACCAUACAAUCUGUGGCCUUUCGUGCCUGACUUCUUUCACUUAGUUGCAUCCAUGAUGUAGCAGGUAUCAGUGAUCCACUCACUUUUAUGGCUGAAUUCCCUGAUCCUGUUUUCUGCAUACUGUUUGAAUACCAGCUUUAAAAGAUGUUGAGGGCGAAGCUCUGUUUUAAUGGCACAUCUACUAGGCCAAUUCAUUUAAAGAAGGUGAAAAUGGAGAUAUUGUUGUGAAAUGAUCAUCGUUGAGCAGCCUCAGCUAAUUUGAUAAUGAAAAGUUUGGGAAAUAUUGCAAAAAAUUAUUUGCUUUAUAUUAAAAGCCUUUUAAACAAG